GUCCGUGUAGCUCAGUGGAUAGAGCACCGGCCUCCGGAGCCGGGUGUCGUGCGUUCGACUCGCAUCACGGACA
rnacentral:tRNA from 4 species